UACGGAGGAUCCGAGCGUUAUCCGGAUUUAUUGGGUUUAAAGGGUGCGUAGGCGGCCUUGUAAGUCAGGGGUGAAAGACGGUAGCUCAACUAUCGCAGUGCCUUUGAUACUGCAGGGCUUGAAUGUACUUGAGGUAGGCGGAAUGUGACAAGUAGCGGUGAAAUGCAUAGAUAUUGACAGGAACACCGGUGGCGUAAGCGGCUAUCUGGACCGACAUUGACGCUGAGGCACGAAAGCGUGGGGAUCAAACAGG
rnacentral:rRNA from 1 species